CCUACGGGCGGCUGCAGUGGGGAAUAUUGGGCAAUGGGCGCAAGCCUGACCCAGCAACGCCGCGUGAAGGAAGAAGGCUUUCGGGUUGUAAACUUCUUUUCUCAGGGACGAAGAAAGUGACGGUACCUGAGGAAUAAGCCACGGCUAACUACGUGCCAGCAGCCGCGGUAAUACGUAGGUGGCAAGCGUUAUCCGGAUUUAUUGGGUGUAAAGGGCGUGUAGGCGGGAGCGCAAGUCAGAUGUGAAAACUCAGGGCUCAACCCUGAGCCUGCAUUUGAAACUGUGUUUCUUGAGUACUGGAGAGGCAGACGGAAGUCCUAGUGUAGCGGUGAAAUGCGUAGAUAUUAGGAGGAACACCAGUGGCGAAGGCGGUCUGCUGGACAGCAACUGACGCUGAGGCGCGAAAGCGUGGGGAGCAAACAGGAUUAGAUACCCCUGUAGUC
rnacentral:rRNA from 1 species